rnacentral:rRNA from 1 species
AUGAACGCUAGCUACAGGCUUAACACAUGCAAGUCGAGGGGCAGCAUUUUAGUUUGCUUGCAAACUAAAGAUGGCGACCGGCGCACGGGUGAGUAACACGUAUCCAACCUGCCGAUAACUCGGGGAUAGCCUUUCGAAAGAAAGAUUAAUAUCCGAUAGUAUAUUAAAACCGCAUGGUUUUACUAUUAAAGAAUUUCGGUUAUCGAUGGGGAUGCGUUCCAUUAGUUUGUUGGCGGGGUAACGGCCCACCAAGACUACGAUGGAUAGGGGUUCUGAGAGGAAGGUCCCCCACAUUGGAACUGAGACACGGUCCAAACUCCUACGGGAGGCAGCAGUGAGGAAUAUUGGUCAAUGGACGAGAGUCUGAACCAGCCAAGUAGCGUGAAGGAUGACUGCCCUAUGGGUUGUAAACUUCUUUUAUAUGGGAAUAAAGUAUUCCACGUGUGGAAUUUUGUAUGUACCAUAUGAAUAAGGAUCGGCUAACUCCGUGCCAGCAGCCGCGGUAAUACGGAGGAUCCGAGCGUUAUCCGGAUUUAUUGGGUUUAAAGGGAGCGUAGGUGGAUUGUUAAGUCAGUUGUGAAAGUUUGCGGCUCAACCGUAAAAUUGCAGUUGAAACUGGCAGUCUUGAGUACAGUAGAGGUGGGCGGAAUUCGUGGUGUAGCGGUGAAAUGCUUAGAUAUCACGAAGAACUCCGAUUGCGAAGGCAGCUCACUAGACUGCAACUGACACUGAUGCUCGAAAGUGUGGGUAUCAAACAGGAUUAGAUACCCUGGUAGUCCACGCCGUAAACGAUGAGAACUAAGUGUUGGGGAAACUCAGUGCUGCAGUUAACGCAAUAAGUUCUCCGCCUGGGGAGUAUGCACGCAAGUGUGAAACUCAAAGGAAUUGACGGGGGCCCGCACAAGCGGAGGAACAUGUGGUUUAAUUCGAUGAUACGCGAGGAACCUUACCCGGGCUUGAAUUGCAGGUGCAUGAGUCGGAGACGGCUCUUUCCUUCGGGACUCCUGUGAAGGUGCUGCAUGGUUGUCGUCAGCUCGUGCCGUGAGGUGUCGGCUUAAGUGCCAUAACGAGCGCAACCCUUAUCUUUAGUUACUAACAGGUCAUGCUGAGGACUCUAGAGAGACUGCCGUCGUAAGAUGUGAGGAAGGUGGGGAUGACGUCAAAUCAGCACGGCCCUUACGUCCGGGGCUACACACGUGUUACAAUGGGGGGUACAGAAGGCAGCUACCUGGCGACAGGAUGCUAAUCCCAAAAACCUCUCUCAGUUCGGAUCGAAGUCUGCAACCCGACUUCGUGAAGCUGGAUUCGCUAGUAAUCGCGCAUCAGCCAUGGCGCGGUGAAUACGUUCCCGGGCCUUGUACACACCGCCCGUCAAGCCAUGAAAGCCGGGGGUACCUGAAGUACGUAACCGCAAGGAGCGUCCUAGGGUAAAACUGGUAAUUGGGGCU